AUGGUCCCGCUGAGCCACCCCGGCGUCGCCGCCGAGGUGCGGCUGGUGCUGCAGGGCGCCACCGACGCCGACCGCGAGUCCGUCCGCCGCGAGCUCCGCCAGUUAGUUGACUAUGGUCACGAUGGAUGUCUUUUGGUGCUUCAAGUCUGUUUGGAUGAAGUGCUGCUGAAUGACAGGGAGGCCAAAAACUUGCAGUUGAAGCAUGAUCUUUUGUCCGCCACUUUCAGAUAUUGUCUGGAUAAAACAUACUUUAGUACUUGUUUCUGUGAGGCACUGAUGCGGAUGAAAACUGCUACUGAUGGCCUCCUGGAGACUCUGUCGAGUGCACUGGAACUCUCAGCAGCCGAGAAAGUCGGUAUUGGUCUUGCGCUGUCAGAUUCUGAUAAUUCAGGCAUGAAGCUAAAAGGGCAACAAUUUGCAAUUGCCCAAAUUGAGGAGUUGUCCUUGAAUCCUAAUCAAUUGGUAUCAAAUAAUCAAAUUCAUGAAAUCGUUGUCUUCCUUCACCAGACCGAUGGCUUGACAAAGCAUAUGGAUACUUUUAGUAACAUUGCUUCUCUUCUAGAAGUUGGACAGAGUCCUUUUUUUGCUCCCAUCCCCAAAGAGCAGUAUGAUGUUCAGUCAAUAAAUCAUUCAAGACAUUUGGAGAUGUACUUAGAUAGCACGAAUGAUGACUUUGAGUCACUUCUUUCUGAAAUUGGGAAAGAAAUAAGUAUGGCGGACAUCGUAACCGAGUUGGGUUAUGGAUGCACUGUUGACAGCACACAGUGUAAGGAAAUACUUUCCACUUUUCAGCCUCUUGAUGAUGUGGCAAUAUCUAAGUUACUUGGGGCAGUUAUUGGCACUCAAAAUAGUGUCGCAGAGGUCCAUAACACUUAUGCAACCUUUGUAUCUGCUAUUCGAAAUACCCACUUGAGUGAGUCACCUCAAUUGACUACAUGGAACACAGAUGUUCUUGUGGAUUCAAUCAACGAAUUGGCCCCAAGUACUAAUUGGGUGCAUGUUAUGGAAAGCCUUGAUCAUGAGGGUUUCAGUAUUCCUGAUGAAGCAGCUUUCUGUUUACUGAUGAAUAUAUAUGGCCGCGCUUGCAAGGAUCCCUUUCCGCUUCAUGCUGUUUGUGGGUCAAUGUGGACAAAUACAGAAGGCCAGAUAUCAUUUUUAAAGCAUGCAAUUUCUACCCCUGCUACUAUUUUUACAUUUGCACAUAGUUCAAGGCUGCUGGCACUUCCGGACUUUGCAAGUCUUGGUCCAGGUAAUCAUGCUUGGUUUUGCCUUGACCUUCUAGAGGUUUUAUGCCAGCUUGCUGAAGUUGGACACACUGUGUCGGUGCGAUCCAUGCUCGAGUAUCCUUUGGGACAUUGCCCUGAACUCCUACUUGUUGGUCUUGGACACAUCAACACUGCCUAUAAUCUCCUCCAAUUUGAAGUGCUGUCCUGUGCAUUUCCUGCUAUUCUGAAGGACACCACAAAGAGAAAUGUGGUGAAUUAUCUAUGGCAUAUUAACCCAUGCCUCACCCUUCGAGGAUUUGUUGAUGCUCAUUCUGAUCCAAGCUGUCUCCUGAGAAUUGUGGAUGUGUGUCAUGACCUGAAGAUCCUUUCUGCUGUCCUAGAGUCCACUCCAUUUGCAUUUAGCAUUAGAUUGGCGGCUGCUGCUUGUAGGAAAGAUCAUAGCCAUCUAGAGAAAUGGCUCACUGAGAAGUUAACUGUAUACAAGGACAGUUUUGUUGAGGAAUGCGUUAAUUUCCUUAAAGAAGCUAUGAACGCCGCAUCUUAUGCGGUAGAGGGUACCACGGAACAACCUCAGGCUAGUGUGGUGGACAUGUACUGGGAAGCCUGUCCUCCCUUUAUAAAGGUUCUCCAGUCUCACUUGGGACAGCUCUUAUCCAACCAACUCGCGGAUGAACUAAGGGAGUUGUGUGCUCUGUAUGAAUCGAGAAAUCAGGGUCCUGUAGCAAGGGACAUCCCUACCUCGGAGGGAGGUUCAGAUGAUGUUGAAGUAGAAGCAAAUGCGUACUUUCACCAGAUGUUUUCUGGACAGAUAAACAUUGAUGUGAUGAUACAAAUGCUCACUCGCUUCAAAGAAUCUCCAGAUAAGAGGGAGCAAUCGAUUUUUAAUUGUAUGAUCUCAAAUCUGUUUGAGGAAUACAAGUUCUUUACGAAGUAUCCGGAUAAGCAGCUUAAGCUAGCUGCUGUGCUAUUUGGAUCCCUUAUCAAACAUGAACUUGUGGCCCACCUUGGACUUGGGAUUGCUCUACGCGCUGUUCUUGAUGCCUUACGCAAGUCUGUUGAUUCAAAGAUGUUUAUGUUUGGUACGACAGCAUUGGAACAGUUCAUGGAUCGUGUAAUAGAGUGGCCACAGUACUGCAAUCACAUAUUGCAGAUUUCACAUCUUCGAGCCACUCAUGCUGAAAUGGUCUCUGCAAUUGAGCGAGCACUUGCCAGAAUUUCAUCAAGUCAAAAUGAGCCCAACGCUGGCAACUUGCUUUCUACGGAGCAGCUUCUUUCUGGAUCGUCAUCUAUUGAAGCCAUGGAGGCAUCUGAACCAUCAUGGCAGUUAAUGGGUACAUCUCCAACUCAGCUAGGAAGGACACCUUACCCGUUGCAGCAAAGGCAACCAAGUGUACUUGGAGACAGGUCCAAGAUCUCCAUUGGCACCUCUCAGAAUAAAAGCAUCUUACCUAGUCAGCCUUCAGUUCCUCCGGCAUCUGCUGAUUCAGCCUUUAAUCUAAAGACUACUGUUCCACCUUCUUCAUUAGCUCACCCUACGAGCAUGUCAAAUACUGCUCAUUCCACUAGUUUUCUGCGCCUCCGGAAUACCUCAACAGUUUUGCCCCGGCAACAUUCCUACACUACGGGAUUUGGAAAUGCCUUAAAUAUUGAGACACUUGUAGCAGCAGCGGAGCAAAGAGAUAAUCCAAUUGAGACUCCUCCAUCUGAAGUUCACGACAAGAUCUUGUUUAUGAUUAACAAUAUAUCCUCCUCUAAUAUGGAAGCCAAGGCGAAAGAAUUUAAUGAAGUGCUUCAGGAACAAUAUUAUCCUUGGUUUGCACAGUACAUGGUCAUGAAAAGGGCAAGCAUCGAGCCAAAUUUUCAUGAUUUAUACCUGAAAUUCUUUGAUAAACUUAACUCAAGAUCCUUGAGUAAGGAGAUGCUGAAAGCUACAUAUGAGAACUGCAAGGUUUUGUUAAGAUCAGAUCUUAUCAAAUCUAGUUCCGAGGAACGCUCCUUGCUAAAAAAUUUGGGCAGUUGGUUGGGAAAAUUUACCAUUGGAAGAAACCAGACAUUAAGAGCCAAGGAAAUUGACCCGAAAUCGCUUAUUGUGGAGGCUUAUGAGAGAGGACUUAUGAUUGCUGUAAUUCCAUUCACUUCAAAGAUUCUCGAACCUUGCAAUUCAAGUAUAGCAUAUCGUCCUCCAAAUCCGUGGACAAUGGGAAUUCUUAGUCUACUUUCUGAGAUCUAUAAUCUACCAAACCUGAAGAUGAAUCUAAAAUUUGACAUUGAGGUCCUGUUUAAGAACCUCAGUGUGGACAUGAAAGAUGUGAAACCGACUUCCCUUCUUAAAGAUCGAGGACGUGAAGUUGAGGGUAACCCAGAUUUUUCAAACAAAGAUGUUGCUUCAUCCCAAACCCCAGUGGCUGCAGAAGUCUCAUCAGGUGUCAACCCUCCAAUAAAACAUGUAGACCUGCAGCCUGAGGUCAAUAGCACUUCCCGUGCCCUGAGCCUUCCAACUAUGUAUACUGCUCCUGUUCGUCUCCCUCCUAACAGUAUGGUGGAGGAUGAUAAAAUUGCUCUAAUGAUGCCUGAGCAAGUCCCCUCUCACACCUUGACCCAGGUCUCAUCUUCACAAACACCAUUAGUAUCACUAUCGCCAUCGCCACUCUCUCUAACUCAGCUUUUGUCGCUGAUUCCACAUGAUGAGAUACGCUUCAAAAUAAGCUCAAAACUUUUGCCUUUUGGCUCACAGUUGCAGUUCAGCAAAAUCAUGGGCGUGGCUUUGGAUAAGGCUAUCAAAGAGAUAAUACUCCCUGUCAUUGAAAGAAGUGUCUCAAUAGCAAGCAAAACUACAAAAGAAAUUAUUCUGAAGGAUUAUGCAACGGAAUCUGAUUACAGUGCCGCAAAUCGCUCUGCUCGUUUAAUGGUCGGGACAUUAGCUGGAAGUCUAGCCCAUGUUACUUGCAAGGAACCGCUUCGUGUUGCGCUACUGUCUCAUCUCCGAAGCCUUACUCAAAACCUUGCUAGCAACAGCGAAACUCUUGAGCGAAUAGUACUUGUUCUGAUCAACGACAAUUUGGAUCUUGGCUGCGCAAGUAUCGAGUCUGUAGCGGCGCGCAAGGCUGUUGAUUCGAUUGAGGGUGAAAUAACUCAAUCCUUUUCACAACAAAGGAAGAAAAGAGAGGCAGCUGGUCCUGCAUAUUAUGACUCUUUUACUUAUGCUCAAGGUCCAUUUGCCCCUGUACCUGAAGUAUUCCAUACUAAGGCAGAGUCUCCCGCCCAACAACGAGUGUAUGAGGAGUUUGUUCAUGUAUGGCAGAGCCAUGGCCAAAGUGUUGGUGCUGCAGGUUCUGGCUCUUCUGGUACAGCUGCUGUAUCGAGCAAUUUUGGUGUACCUCGAGCUUACAGCCCAAGUUUAGCACAAGCUUCCAGUGCUUUCUUGUCUGCUCAAACAGCUCCACUUACAUUAACUCAGCCUACAGAGCUGGUGUAUGAGGAAUUAAUUCCUGGCGCUGCACAACUUUCUAGUGAUUCUCCUGCUCAAGUUGGGACCGGCGACUCUUCUGGCUGGCUUGGUGGAACCAUUGGCGAUGCAUCCACAUCUCCACCCUUGAUGUCUAAUGAACUUCCUGCGGGAGGAAUAAUGGAUUUAAAUGUUAUGACGCCACCUCCAGCUACAGUUUCUGACAAUCUAGGAUCUGGUUUACCUGAUACUUUGAGCACUGGUGAUGCUAUGGAGAGAUACGAACAGGUUUCACAAAAGCUGGAAGUCUUGAUUGCCAAGGAUGGUAAAGAUGUGGAAAUCCAGUCUGUUAUAGCGGAAGUUCCUGAUAUCUUGCUCAAAUGUGUUAACCGGGAUGAGGCUGCAUUAGCUGUUGCACAAAAGGUUUUAAGAAGUUUGUAUGACAACACAUCAAAUAGCGGUUCUGUCAUGUGGUUUCUAGCAACCUUAGUUGCGAUAAGAGAUGUAUGCAAGCUUGUUGUCAAGGAGCUAACAAAUUGGGUAAUCUAUUCGGACGAUGAGAAGAAGUUUAAUAGUGAAAUCAUUUUUGCCCUUAUUCGUUCUGAUUUGCUGGAUGUCAGGGAGUACAAUGUUCAUUUAGCAAAGCUAAUUGACGGUGGAAGAAACAAGAUUGCAACAGAAUUUGCCAUGUCACUUCUCCAGACAUUGAUUACUCAGGACUCUGCUAGUAUCUCAGAACUCCAGGAUGUUGUUGAUGUGCUAUCAAAGAUUUCAAGGAGGCCAGGUUCACCUGAGUUGAUGCGACAGGUGAAUGAGAUUGCAAGGAAUAAUGCCAACAAUGCUCCUGCUUUUGCUUUUGGGAAGGAUAAAAAGGUUUUACCUAACCGGGCAAACAAAGAGGAAAACAGUGUUAGCGAUGCCACUGUAGCUGAUUCUGUUGGUUUUCAAGACCAGGUUGCACACCUAUUUUCUGAGUGGUGCCAAAUAUGUGAUCAUCCAAAUGCUAGUGAUGCGGCCUAUAGUCGUUUUGUUAUGCAGUUGCAACAUAUUGGCCUGCUGAAGGGAGACGAAUUCACAGAGCGUUUCUUCCGAAUUCUCACGGAACUUGCUGUUGCACACUCUCUAGUCUCUGAGCAAAUUAAUGCUCCUGGUGGAUUGUCUCAGCAGUCAUCACAUAUAUCAUAUUUCCCCAUUGAUUCAUAUUCGAAGCUUGUGUCUGUGGUGAUAAAGAAUUGUUCAGUGGAAAUAGGACCAAAUAAAGGCAGCCUUCUUCCCAAGAUAUUGUCAGUGACAAUUAGGGUCAUUCAGAAAGAUGCUGAAGAGAAGAAAGCUUCAUUUAACCCCCGACCAUACUUUCGGCUAUUUAUCAAUUGGCUGAAUGACCUUAGUAAUUCUGAACUCCAUCAUGAUGGAGCUAAUUUCCAGGUUUUGGCUGCAUUUGCAAAUGCAUUCCAUGUACUGCAACCCUCGAGAAUUCCUAGCUUGAGCUUUGCUUGGCUUGAGUUGGUGAGUCAUAGAACCUUCAUGGCAAGACUGCUGACGGGCAAUUCACAAAAAGGGUGGCCUUUUUUCCAACGGCUACUUAUUGAUCUGUUCAAAUUCAUGGAACCAUAUUUGAGAACUGCUGACCUAUUAGAACCAGUGCACCUUAUGUACAAAGGAACUAUGAGAGUGCUGCUUGUACUACUCCAUGACUUUCCUGAAUUUCUGUGUGACUAUCACUUCAGUUUUUGUGACGUGAUCCCUUCCAGUUGCAUUCAAAUGCGCAAUGUCAUUCUCAGUGCUUUUCCGCGCAACAUGAGACUUCCAGACCCAUCUACCCCUAAUUUGAAGAUUGAUCUGCUAGCUGAAAUUUCAUUACCUCCACGAAUCAUGUCAGAUGUUGAUGGUGCCCUCAAGUCAAAGCAUAUGAAGGCUGAAGUCGAUGAGUAUCUUAAGAGACCAGAAGGCUCAUCCUUUUUGAAUGAUCUGAAGCAAAAGUUGCUGCUGCCUCAGAAUGAAGCUAAUGUUGCUGGGACACGCUACAAUGUGCCUCUGAUGAAUUCGCUUGUUCUCUACAUUGGCAUCCAAGCGGUGCAACAACUGCAAGCGAACAAGGCAAAUGCAUCUGCGUCAGCACAGCAGAUUAACCAUAGUACAAUGGAUAUUUUUCAGAUCGAAACUGCGACUGAAUUUUUCAGAUAUCUUGUAACGAACUUGGAUACAGAGGGGCGCCACCUGUUUUUGAAUGCGAUUGCAAACCAACUGCGCUACCCGAAUAGCCACACGCACUACUUCUCCUUCAUCAUUCUGUAUCUAUUUGCUGAAGCUAGCCAGGAACAUAUCCAGGAGCAGGUGACGAGGGUUCUCUUAGAACGGCUGAUAGUGAAUCGUCCUCACCCCUGGGGAUUACUCAUCACCUUCAUCGAGCUGAUAAAGAACCCGCGCUACAACUUUUGGAACCGAGCCUUCACACACUGCGCACCCGAGAUUAAGCAGCUGUUUGAGUCAGUCGCAAAGUCAUGCGGUGGAGGCGCUGGAAAAGCAGUGGAUGAUGGCUCUGAUGUCAGCCACUAA
rnacentral:rRNA from 1 species